UAGGGAAUCUUCGGCAAUGGACGAAAGUCUGACCGAGCAACGCCGCGUGAGUGAAGAAGGUUUUCGGAUCGUAAAACUCUGUUGUUAGAGAAGAACAAGGACGUUAGUAACUGAACGUCCCCUGACGGUAUCUAACCAGAAAGCCACGGCUAACUACGUGCCAGCAGCCGCGGUAAUACGUAGGUGGCAAGCGUUGUCCGGAUUUAUUGGGCGUAAAGCGAGCGCAGGCGGUUUCUUAAGUCUGAUGUGAAAGCCCCCGGCUCAACCGGGGAGGGUCAUGGGAAACUGGGAGACUUGAGUGCAGAAGAGGAGAGUGGAAUUCCAUGUGUAGCGGUGAAAUGCGUAGAUAUAUGGAGGAACACCAGUGGCGAAGGCGGCUCUCUGGUCUGUAACUGACGCUGAGGCUCGAAAGCGUGGGGAGCAAACAGG
rnacentral:rRNA from 1 species